AACGAACGCUGGCGGCAGGCCUAACACAUGCAAGUCGAGCGAGGACUUCGGUCCUAGCGGCGGACGGGGGAGUAACGCGUGGGAACGUGCCCUUUUCUUCGGAAUAGCCCUGGGAAACUGGGAGUAAUACCGGAUGAGCCCUUUUGGGGAAAGAUUUAUCGGCGAAGGAUCGGCCCGCGUUGGAUUAGGUAGUUGGUGGGGUAAUGGCCUACCAAGCCGACGAUCCCUAGAUGGGUUGAGAGGAUGAUCAGCCACACUGGGACUGAGACACGGCCCAGACUCCUCCGGGAGGCAGCAGUGGGGAAUCUUAGACAAUGGGGGAAACCAUGAUCUAGCCCUGACGCGUGAGCGAUGAAGGCCUUAGGGUUGUAAAGCGCUUUCAGCUGGGAAGAUAAUGACGGUACCAGAAGAAGAAGCCCCGGCUAACUCCGUG
rnacentral:rRNA from 1 species